GUUGGGGCAGUUGGUUAGAGCUUCUGAUUGUGGUUCAGAAGGCCGCGGGUUCAAAUCCCGUCACCCACC
rfam:Omnitrophica WOR_2 bacterium RIFCSPHIGHO2_02_FTLL_48_11 rifcsphigho2_02_scaffold_9293, whole genome shotgun sequence.